GACGAACGCUGGCGGCGUGCCUAAUACAUGCAAGUCGAACGCACUGACGUCGACCGAAGCUGCUUGCAGUGGACGUUGAUUGACGUGAAUGGCGGACGGGUGAGUAACACGUGGGUAACCUACCCUUAAGCGGGGGAUAACAUUUGGAAACAGAUGCUAAUACCGCAUAACCAUUCAGACCACAUGGUCUGAAUGUAAAAGACGGCCUUUGGCUGUCACUUUUGGACGGACCCGCGGCGUAUUAGUUAGUUGGUAAGGUAACGGCUUACCAAGACAAUGAUACGUAGCCGACCUGAGAGGGUAAUCGGCCACAUUGGGACUGAGACACGGCCCAAACUCCUACGGGAGGCAGCAGUAGGGAAUCUUCCACAAUGGACGAAAGUCUGAUGGAGCAACGCCGCGUGAGUGAAGAAGGUUUUAGGAUCGUAAAACUCUGUUGUUGGAGAAGAACAGGGACUAGAGUAACUGUUAGUCCUUUGACGGUAUCCAACCAGAAAGCCACGGCUAACUACGUGCCAGCAGCCGCGGUAAUACGUAGGUGGCAAGCGUUGUCCGGAUUUAUUGGGCGUAAAGCGAGCGCAGGCGGUUUUUUAAGUCUGAUGUGAAAGCCUUCGGCUUAACCGAAGAAGUGCAUUAGAAACUGGGAAACUUGAGUGCAGAAGAGGACAGUGGAACUCCAUGUGUAGCGGUGAAAUGCGUAGAUAUAUGGAAGAACACCAGUGGCGAAGGCGGCUGUCUGGUCUGUAACUGACGCUGAGGCUCGAAAGUAUGGGGAGCGAACAGGAUUAGAUACCCUGGUAGUCCAUACCGUAAACGAUGAAUGCUAAGUGUUGGAGGGUUUCCGCCCUUCAGUGCUGCAGCUAACGCAUUAAGCAUUCCGCCUGGGGAGUACGACCGCAAGGUUGAAACUCAAAGGAAUUGACGGGGGCCCGCCAAGCGGUGGAGCAUGUGGUUUAAUUCGAAGCAACGCGAAGAACCUUACCAGGUCUUGACAUCCUUUGACCACUGUAGAGAUACAGCUUUCCCUUCGGGGACAAAGUGACAGGUGGUGCAUGGUUGUCGUCAGCUCGUGUCGUGAGAUGUUGGGUUAAGUCCCGCAACGAGCGCAACCCUUAUGACUAGUUGCCAGCAUUUAGUUGGGCACUCUAGUAAGACUGCCGGUGACAAACCGGAGGAAGGUGGGGAUGACGUCAAAUCAGCAUGCCCCUUAUGACCUGGGCUACACACGUGCUACAAUGGUCGGUACAACGAGUUGCGAACCCGCGAGGGUAAGCUAAUCUCUUAAAGCCGAUCUUAGUUCGGAUUGUAGGCUGCAACUCGCCUACAUGAAGCCGGAAUCGCUAGUAAUCGCGGAUCAGCACGCCGCGGUGAAUACGUUCCCGGGCCUUGUACACACCGCCCGUCACACCAUGAGAGUUUGUAACACCCGAAGUCGGUGGGGUAACCCUUUUAGGGAACUAGCCGCCUAAGGUGGGACAGAUGAUUGGGGUG
rnacentral:rRNA from 1 species